rnacentral:rRNA from 1 species
CACAGAGAGCUUGCUCUCGGGUGACGAGCGGCGGACGGGUGAGUAAUGUCUGGGAAACUGCCUGAUGGAGGGGGAUAACUACUGGAAACGGUAGCUAAUACCGCAUAACGUCGCAAGACCAAAGUGGGGGACCUUCGGGCCUCAUGCCAUCAGAUGUGCCCAGAUGGGAUUAGCUAGUAGGUGGGGUAAUGGCUCACCUAGGCGACGAUCCCUAGCUGGUCUGAGAGGAUGACCAGCCACACUGGAACUGAGACACGGUCCAGACUCCUACGGGAGGCAGCAGUGGGGAAUAUUGCACAAUGGGCGCAAGCCUGAUGCAGCCAUGCCGCGUGUAUGAAGAAGGCCUUCGGGUUGUAAAGUACUUUCAGCGAGGAGGAAGGCAUUAAGGUUAAUAACCUUGGUGAUUGACGUUACUCGCAGAAGAAGCACCGGCUAACUCCGUGCCAGCAGCCGCGGUAAUACGGAGGGUGCAAGCGUUAAUCGGAAUUACUGGGCGUAAAGCGCACGCAGGCGGUCUGUCAAGUCGGAUGUGAAAUCCCCGGGCUCAACCUGGGAACUGCAUUCGAAACUGGCAGGCUAGAGUCUUGUAGAGGGGGGUAGAAUUCCAGGUGUAGCGGUGAAAUGCGUAGAGAUCUGGAGGAAUACCGGUGGCGAAGGCGGCCCCCUGGACAAAGACUGACGCUCAGGUGCGAAAGCGUGGGGAGCAAACAGGAUUAGAUACCCUGGUAGUCCACGCCGUAAACGAUGUCGACUUGGAGGUUGUGCCCUUGAGGCGUGGCUUCCGGAGCUAACGCGUUAAGUCGACCGCCUGGGGAGUACGGCCGCAAGGUUAAAACUCAAAUGAAUUGACGGGGGCCCGCACAAGCGGUGGAGCAUGUGGUUUAAUUCGAUGCAACGCGAAGAACCUUACCUACUCUUGACAUCCAGAGAACUUAGCAGAGAUGCUUUGGUGCCUUCGGGAACUCUGAGACAGGUGCUGCAUGGCUGUCGUCAGCUCGUGUUGUGAAAUGUUGGGUUAAGUCCCGCAACGAGCGCAACCCUUAUCCUUUGUUGCCAGCGGUUAGGCCGGGAACUCAAAGGAGACUGCCAGUGAUAAACUGGAGGAAGGUGGGGAUGACGUCAAGUCAUCAUGGCCCUUACGAGUAGGGCUACACACGUGCUACAAUGGCAUAUACAAAGAGAAGCGACCUCGCGAGAGCAAGCGGACCUCAUAAAGUAUGUCGUAGUCCGGAUUGGAGUCUGCAACUCGACUCCAUGAAGUCGGAAUCGCUAGUAAUCGUAGAUCAGAAUGCUACGGUGAAUACGUUCCCGGGCCUUGUACACACCGCCCGUCACACCAUGGGAGUGGGUUGCAAAAGAAGUAGGUAGCUUAACCUUCGGGAGGGCGCUUACCACUUUGUGAUUCAUGACUGGGGUGAAGUCGUAACAAGGUAACCGUAGGGGAACCUGCGGUUGGAUCACCUCCUUA